ACUUCCUGAAAUGGAGAGAAGGCGAGUGGAUGCCUGAUGACUUGCAGAUGUGGGCAGAAUGCUGGAGGGAGAAGCGGCUCCCGGGGCACCCGUGCUUGGCCCCCUUUAGAUGUCGGCCCCCUUUGCACCUCCCUUUGCAGCUCCAAAGCUCUGUGUUUGGGGUGGGAGCGGCUGCGAGGCGGUGGGGGGCUUGUUUGGCAGACGGCGCCCAUCAGACAACUGGAAAGUGCCAGUGCCUGCGUGGCCAUCUGUCCCCGCCGCCUAACUCCCGGCCGCCUUCUGCUUCCCACAGAAGGGCCCGCGCUGUUCUGUAGCACAAGGGCAUGGGGCCUGGCCGGGAGGGGCAGGCACAAUUCCAUUUUGCCAUUGUUUAUUCCCAUCUUCUUUGCAGCUCCUGCGCUUGGGAGUUGCCAGAGUGCAGCAGCUGCCCCGAGCCCCGUGCUUGGCAACAUUCCCCCCAAUGAUGGGAUGCCGGGAGGCCCCAUCCCGCCAGGUUUCUUUCAGCCUUUUAUGUCACCGAGAUACGCAGGCGGCCCCAGGCCCCCGAUCAGAAUGGGAAACCAGCCUCCGGGAGGAGUUCCUGGGACACAGCCAUUGCUGCCCAAUUCUAUGGAUCCCACACGACAACAAGGCCACCCCAACAUGGGAGGAUCAAUGCAGAGAAUGAACCCUCCCCGAGGCAUGGGGCCCAUGGGUCCUGGCCCACAGAAUUACGGCAGCGGCAUGAGACCACCACCCAACUCCCUCGGCCCCGCCAUGCCCGGGAUUAACAUGGGCCCGGGAGCUGGCAGACCCUGGCCCAAUCCUAACAGUGCUAACUCAAUUCCAUACUCCUCCUCAUCACCUGGUACCUAUGUGGGACCCCCUGGUGGUGGCGGCCCUCCAGGAACACCCAUUAUGCCCAGUCCCGCAGAUUCAACAAAUUCCAGUGACAACAUCUACACAAUGAUUAAUCCGGUGCCGCCUGGAGGCAGCCGGUCCAACUUCCCGAUGGGUCCCGGCUCGGACGGACCGAUGGGCGGCAUGGGUGGCAUGGAGCCACACCACAUGAAUGGAUCAUUAGGGUCAGGCGACAUAGACGGACUUCCAAAAAAUUCUCCUAACAACAUAAGUGGCAUUAGCAAUCCUCCAGGCACCCCUCGAGAUGACGGCGAGCUAGGAGGGAACUUCCUCCACUCCUUUCAGAACGACAAUUAUUCUCCAAGCAUGACGAUGAGUGUGUGAUCCCCCCUUCUCCGAGACGCUGAGAGAGCGGGCAUUGCAGGCGGGAAGAUGCCAGAAAUUAUGCAAGAAGUGAGGUGUCAUUACCCAGGAGCUGGUGGGGAGGGCAUCUCCCUGCUCCCCUCAACCCCCUCCCACCCCAUCCACACCCCCUACCUUUCCCAAUUUUAGUUUCAUGCAAUAAAAAGGCCAAACUUUUUAUUCCAUAAAACAUGAAGGACAAAACUCUCAAAAAUGUAUUUCAAGUCAGUGACCAGAAAAAUCCCACCCUUUGCCCUUUCCCCAAAGGACCUUUUCUGUACAUGACACUUUUUUGUUGUUUUUUGUUUGGGGUUUUACCGUUGUUGGGAUUUUUUUAUUUGUUUUCAGGGGGGUUUUUUGGGGGAAAAUUUUUUUAAAUGGAAGCUUCUAGCAAGCCCCCACCCCAAUCAACCUCUAUGCUUUCUUCUUAAAAAAAAAAAAAAAGGAAAAAGGAAAAAAAGGAAAACCAGAAGCCCUGCUGUCUGUCUGUGCCCAAGCCCUUCCACCAGAAAAGCUAGUCUAGGUGUGAGAGCCCACAUUGUCUGUAGCCAUCAAAAAUAAUAAUAAUAAACUGGACAGUUUACAAUCGGUGGUUUCUUUCAGAAGGCCUUUUUUGGAAAGAAAAAAAGGCAGUCACCGUUUUCCACUUGGGGUUUUGGUUUGUGCAACAGGCAGGGGAGGAGCGGGAACGCGUUUGUUCUAGCUUGAUUUCCAUGGCAACGGCAGCGGCACGCUUGGACCCCAGAACCCAGCACCCUCAUCCUGUGGCCAGAGGGGCCGGACCACCGACCCCUUUAAGGAUUCCACCACAGCCCAGACCGUCGCCGUGACCCGGUGGCAUGCACUGUUCCCAGGACACCUUCCUCCUCCUCUCCUGGACCUCCCUCCCGUGCUGGCCUCCCUGCCUCUCCAGCCCCUCCUCUGCCCCCACCCCAGUCUUCCCAGUGAGAAUCCUGCCAGCUGGGUGGUGGCCUGGCGCAGAGUGGGAGAGGCUGCCACUGACAGGAUGGCUAUGACCUGGGACAUGGAAACAGUGACUUCCGCGUUCUGGUCCCGAGAUCCUCGCAUCAGCGUCAUCGUGUGCACCGGCUGGGGGGCUGGAGUUCCGGUUUUCUUUGUUUUUUCUCUUUAUUCGUCCUUUCUCAAAGAUGGGAUACUGACCAGAAUUGCUCUGUAUAUGCUUGGGACUGGAUGGAAAGACUUUGGAGCAGCUGUGGGGGGUGGGGGGACACCGACAACCAAACAGACGUGCUGGCUCCGGUCCUGUUUUUACUUUCAAAAACCAACAAGCCCGACAGUGGAGCCUGUCCCCUCCCGGGAGGGUGCUCAUGGCCCCGCUCACCUCAUCACCCCACGGAAACCUUUGUGUCUUGCCCUGGAAGACACCCGAAUUCUUUGUACAUUGACAUGCCCUUCUCCUUCCUCCCUCCCCUGUAGCUGGUCUUUGUUUUACUCCCUCCCUUUCUGAUCCAUGUAUAUCAUAUUAUGUGAGAUAUCAUCUGCCUGAAAAAAGACUUUGUGCGGAUUAUUGGGAACAUUGUAGCUGUUUCUGUGUUUUUUCUUACCUUGUAGUCUGGUUCUGAAUUAAGAGAGGAAAAAAAAAAGUAAUUAUGAUACAUUGUAGUUUGUGUACGAUAUAUGUUGAUAACGUUUUAUUAAAGGGACAUCUUUUUUCCGCA
rnacentral:sRNA from 1 species